rnacentral:sRNA from 1 species
GUAGAAGACCCAGCGGCCGCCGCGAGUGUGAGGAGGCAGGGCCUGGCGGGGCCUGGGUCUGGGCCUUGACCAAGGAGGCAGAGAAAGAUGGCCCAAGGAGGGCCCUGGGGUGAGUCUGAGCCAGGAGGCAGAGAAAGGUGGCCCAAGGAGGGCCCUGGGGUGCUGCUGUGGUCGGCCAACAAGGUGUUUGAGGAGCUGACGGACAUUGAGAGGCAGUUCCACAAGGCCUUCUACACGGUGCGGGCCUACCUCAACUGUGAGCGGUACUCCGUGGGCCUCCUGGACAUGACCAAGGAGAAGGAAUUUUUUGACGUGUGGCCUGUGCUGAUGGGAGAGUCCCAGCCGUACUUGGGCCCACGCACGCCUGAUGGCCGGGUGAGUCUUAGGGGAGGGGCCCAGGGCCUGUCCACACGCCUCUGUUUCCCUGACUCCAACUCCAGGGCAGGAGAGGGAGGGAUAGGGGUGGGGUUUAGGGAGGUGGGAACUGGCCGGUGGGACCCCGGGUGCCUGUCUGUGGUCUCCACCAGGCUCCCCUGCUGCUGCACUCCAGGGAUGGGGUGUCCAGGGCUGGUCCCUGAAUGAGGGCCGCCAGGCU